rnacentral:rRNA from 1 species
GACGAACGCUGGCGGCGUGCCUAAUACAUGCAAGUCGAACGCUUCUUUCCUCCCGAGUGCUUGCACUCAAUUGGAAAGAGGAGUGGCGGACGGGUGAGUAACACGUGGGUAACCUACCCAUCAGAGGGGGAUAACACUUGGAAACAGGUGCUAAUACCGCAUAACAGUUUAUGCCGCAUGGCAUAAGAGUGAAAGGCGCUUUCGGGUGUCGUUGAUGGAUGGACCCGCGGUGCAUUAGCUAGUUGGUGAGGUAACGGCUCACCAAGGCCACGAUGCAUAGCCGACCUGAGAGGGUGAUCGGCCACACUGGGACUGAGACACGGCCCAGACUCCUACGGGAGGCAGCAGUAGGGAAUCUUCGGCAAUGGACGAAAGUCUGACCGAGCAACGCCGCGUGAGUGAAGAAGGUUUUCGGAUCGUAUAACUCUGUUGUUAGAGAAGAACAAGGACGUUAGUAACUGAACGUCCCCUGACGGUAUCUAACCAGAAAGCCACGGCUAACUACGUG